CAGUGAUGAAGGGGAAAUAAAGUGGGUCUACAUCAAGAAUUUCACAGCAGUUGUAGGGAAAUAUUUACAUACUUUGUAUCUCAAAUAGAUUUUUUUUUUAUUGAUUAUCUUUUCCUGACAGCUUGUGUGUGUGACAUCGGAUCAAACAGUGAUGCCUUCUGUACAAUGAACAAAGCUUUGAGUCUUACUGACACAUGAAGAUGAAUAAUGUGCAACCCCCAGACUCUAUAGCUGCUGUACAUUUUUAAGCCAACUUGAGAUGGAUUCUCAUCCUAAAGCAUCUUCUGAGGAUUCAGAAGAUGGUGAUUCUUUCACACAGCUUGUCUGUGUGCAGCCUGAUGAAGACAUAGUGACUGUGGAGUUCUUUGCGGUUUUGAGAGACAGUUGCACUUUUCAGUCUGAAGAUACCAUGUGUAUCUGUGGAAGAGACGGGAAAGUAACAGACAUGAAAUUUUUAUUCAGUGAGCGAAGUGGGAGACUGUUUAAAGCGUCCAUCGCUAUGGAUAAAUCUGACAUGUUUCUGUACAAGUAUCGUUGUAUCAGCAAAAAUGGCAAGGAAAAAUCUGAACAGCUCACUGUAGAUGGAAAUAAUGAAGAUUUCAGGAUUCUCAAUGUGAAAGAGCUGCUUCUGCCAGAUUGCAAAGAUGCCCAGCAAUAUGAUGACAUCUGUAUGAAAUCUGACAAACCACAAUAUUUGGUGUUUAAAAGAACUGAGAUCGUAGAGUUACGAUCAAAGUUUCUGCAGACUGUACUCUACUCUGUUUUGAGGUGUAAUGACAGUGACUUGGACUGUUUGCAGAAACGGGUUAAAUAUCUCUUGAAAAGUAUUGAAAGAAGACAAGUUUCACUCAAAACCAUAAAAUUUACGCCCCAGGAGAGAACACAGCGUCUGGAGGAGGCACUAAAUGAUGUAGUCGAGUCAUUCAGACCCACACAUCCACUGUCCCAUCUUCUUGCAACAGCUUUCUUUGUUAAGCACACAAACGUACAUUUAAAGCCAAACUCAGUUGAGAAGCUCUUUGAAUUUGCAAAGCAACAAGCUGUAAUGGAACAACAAAUGCCAAACCUUACCAAGUCCAUGAGCAGGGAUAUCUGUUUUACAGUCGGACAACUUCUUGAAACAGCAUGCACAGGACGCUGGACUGACGCUGUCUGGCUUUUAGGAUUGUUUUUUAAAGUUCUCCCUCCUGACAUGAGUUACGAAAAGGAAUUCCAGAAACAAAUUCCAGAUUCAAAUAUCCUAAGAUGGAGUGCAACUGACGAACAAUGUCAAAAGGAACUUUUUGAAAUGGUAAGGCAUCAUCAGGCUCAGCUAAAAGAACAUCGCCAGUUUUCUGAGAUUGUGCUUGGUGACAUGUUCUCUGUCAGUUUGGGAGAUCAUAAUGUUUUGAAAUAUUUACACCUGAAACCUAAUGACAUUCUCCGGAAACUUCAACAAUGGAUUGAUGAUGAUCACCAUACUUUUUUCUCAGAGAAGUUGAGUGUCAUCAUUAAAACAGUAGCAGGCAUUAUCAGGACAUGGUUUCAAUCAAGGUAAUCGCUUAAUAUUACUGAUAUUACAAUUGUAAAUAUUGCAUAUAUUUUCAUUCUUGAGAAGUGCUUCUAUAAAUGCUAAAAGCAAGGUCUAAAAAUAUAUUAAUACGGGCCACUUUUCCUCAAGGUUCCUUUUAAUAGAUCUAUCCACUUCAUUCAUUUACAGUGAAAGUCUAAAUAUCUGUAAAUCUUUUUAUUUCCAAUUUCACUUGUUUCAAUGUCAUUCUUCUUUUAGCCACUGUUAUGUAACAGCAGAGGAUUGUAUCAGACUGGCUGUGGACAUCAUCAAAAAAAUGAAGAAGAAAAAGCCAGAGGGACAACAAACAAAUGAAACAUUACAAAACAACAUUAUUUCAGCAUUGAUUCUUCUGAAUUCUGUUUCUGAAGUUCUGACGGAAAAAGGAAAAAAGGUCAGAAAAAUAUUUAGUCUUAGCCUUGGGCUGGGCUAUAUGGAAAAAAUCUUAUCACGGUAUAGUUUUCCAUAUCAGCCGAUAUCGAUAUGUAUCACGGUAUGAAUCAAAUGACUUUCUGUUACACUUAAAGGUUUCUUUUUACUCAUAAGUGACAGAAUAAGGGAGUUAUGGCCAAGCUCACUAGCAGGAUCAGAGUCUUGUGGACAGACACUAGGAUGUUCACAUCUUGCCAGGUGGGUACAAGUUGGUCAAACAGCUUUUAAAUUAAUUUUAAAAAGUCGUUAUACAUCCACACAGGUCCGGACCCCUC
ensembl:lncRNA